rnacentral:rRNA from 1 species
GUGAUCAUAUUGGCACUAAUGUACUAGAUCCCAUUAGAAUUCUGAAGUUAAGCGUGUUUGAGUGAGAGUAGUAUUAGGAUCAGUGACUCCUUAGGAAGUCCUCAUGUUACACAUU